rnacentral:lncRNA from 1 species
CCGCGGGUUGAGCUGUGCUGCCUCCCAACACCUCAUUAACCACGGAGCAUUCCUCUCAUUAGACUUCUGCACUCAGAAAUCACCACCUCUGAUACACACUGACACCCAACUGGGGGAAAAUGUCAACACUUUGUCUGAAAAACCCCGAGGAGGCCGCAGUGAUGGCUGCAGGCAGAUGAGCAAGGAGGGGUGGCGGUACCUGGAGAAACCACCCUGUGCUCCGAGAGCUUUGUCCUCAGGGUGAGAGUGAUUUGCAGCAGUCCCAGUCUGCUUGUACAACAGCACAGUUCCCUCGGGCCUCAGCUGACAGCUUCCACGGCUUUGGGAAAAUGUUUGUAAAAAUAAUUUGCUAUAAUUAGAAAAACACUUCAUUGAGAACUCAUUACUGGAAGCCCAUCCUGCAGCUCAGCACUGGGAAGGCCUGGGACACAUUAUGGGUCAGCUGAGAACCACCGCGAUGCCGAAGUUUGAUUCAGAAGAAUUAUUUUGGAGUUCUGGCUCCUCGCAUCCAAUGCACAUGUGACGUUUGUUACAGCAGUGAAAGCACCCUCGAUUGCAGGUCCUGUGCCUGGUGGGGAGCCCAGAUCCAAGCAAGAAGAGCAACCACAACAGCUGGCUGUGAGAGUUCAGCAGAGUUUUGUGCAGUGUCUGCUCAGGUGGUGCUGCUGCGGCUGCUCGAAGCACCACAUCUUUAACACACCCCUACCGAGGGACAGAACGACUCCAGCUCACACUGCUCCUUAAUAUGUAGAAUGGUACCAUCGGCUCUGCUGUUAAAAAGGGAGAUGAUAACAAAAGCAACGCUGCAGCAAAAGCCUCUGAGCCGGGACUUGGAGCUCCUAACCUCCCUUCGGCUCUGGGACCUCUCAAACACAGCAGAGCAGGCUGGGGGCCGAGAGAUGGCGACGCUCUGACCGAAUACAGAGUAAUUAAAAGACCAGUGUGGGCUCCACAGAGAAAGCGUUGCAUAUGGACUUUAAUUAUGAUACCACUCUCCUGCCAGAAAAACACAAAAGAGGAUCUCAGGCGGCUCGGAGGAUGCAUAUGGCUUGUGUAGGUGGAGAAAGCUAAGAGACUGUUACUUUGGGUAGGAAGUGGAUUUUCUCUCUCCUAUAAUCUUGUUAAAUUACCCUGUUUUUAAAGCAAUGAUUUAUAUCUCUCUCUUCAAAUCCAGAGGGGAAAAAAAACAAACCCUCUCUAAACAGCAAGUAUGUGACAAGCAAUGCAUUUUCACUUUCAUUUAUCCUCAUAUUGCAAAGUUCACUCAGCAAACCCGAAGUGUUAAAGGAAAAUGCUGGGGAGGGCUGGUUAGAAAGAAAACCUUGGCUGAAAUGAGAUGGAAAACAGAUUUCCCGGUUUAGGUAAGUAUCAGAAAAUAAUACAUAAUGUUAGACAUCUGAAAAAGGAAGUAGGAAAAUAUUCAGGAAUUUG